rnacentral:lncRNA from 1 species
AAUUGAGAAGACACACUAUAAUAAGAUAUUUUAAAUACUGUGUAGACCUUGCAAUGUCAACAAAAUUGUACUUCUCCCAAUCGGAUGAUUUGGAGCAAGCAAAACUUGACAAGAACAAUGCAUACAAACAAAAAUUGUUCCAACAACAGCCAUAGCAACAACUUGCCCCUCCUCAUGUCUUUACCUGCCGCCACUAGUAGCCCGCCCUACUCUGCUUUAACCUCCACUAUACCA